UCUAGUAGGUUCACUGCUAGUGCAUUAGUGUACUUUCUAAUUUUUGGUAUUUGGUGGUCAGUUAUUUUUAUUUCACUGAGCACAGUGUUCAUUUACAGAUCUUAAUGGGUCCUGUGGUUAUGUAUCAAGAAAGCUUCUGAUGUAAUUUUCUCAUGCUGGGCCACUGCUGGAACCUUCCAACACCACAAAUUUACUGCCACAUUAUCGUGUGCUAAACGUUAUAUCCUUUGGCUGUUUACACACUUUUACCUACCUUCUAGUAGUUCACAUACAGGAAUAAAUGGUGGAAAUGCUUAUAUUUUACUAUACCAAAUCAACUUUUUUAUUUUCUACAUAAGGCUAGUAGGGCCCUGAAGGUGGAUGCAAUAUAGCUAUAAGAACCACAAAUCCAGAUUUAUGUACUUACAAAACUAAUUACUAAGCACAAUUAAAAAUUUCUGCGCAUAAAUAUUUCAGUGUCUUACAGUACCUUUCAUACAUGAUCUAGCGCACUCUUAUGAUUUCAGAUGUUUUCCUGCCAGGUUACUGGAGUGCACAAAAGUAGCACUACAUUUUUAAGACUACAUACACUACACAUACUAUUUCAAAGUUAUUCAAACCAAUGAAAAUUGCUGACACAGUGCUUAUGUUUCAUGGACACACUCACAUAUAGAUCACAACACCAUUUACUCACUAAUGGCCCCAUAAACCCAGGAAGAAAACAUUUGCAAUGGCAACUGAAAACUUUAACUGUAUUGCUACUUUUGUGCCACCCUGUAUUGUAAAUUGACAAUAUGUAUUGCAAAAGAUAUAUAAAACUUGAGAUUCUCAAUGUGAGUCAUUUAGAUAUAUGUAUUUGAGAUUCUAAAGACAGCAUAUAUUCCAUCUGCUACAAACAUUUUUCAGAAACUUUUAAUUUAACAUGGUGGCUCUAACAAAAUCCUGCAACACUUUGUUAGUCCUGAACACCUAAAAUAUAGUCAGAUCCCCUAUUCAAUGGUGCUAAAGCAAGGAUAAAUCUAAUACCUUAUGACUGCAUAGUCUCAAACAUUAAAGUACAGCCAAAAAGGCACUUAACCCCUUUACAUAUGAGUAUUUAUUUUAUGUGGCAAACCUGUCAGGUCAUGUAUUUUCAGAAUAUUAAAAAAAAAAAAAAAGAAAGUGGUAAGUUUUCCGAAUUGGUUGCAAGAGUAUUUCAUCACAUGUACAUCUAAGAAAUGGCAGUAGUUUUGCAUGUUUACAUCUUGUCGAUAGAAUGCCUGGAAGAUAAAUGAGAAAUUUUGCAACAUCCCAUGACAACUGCUCUGUUGUCAGUAAGGAAUGCAUAGCUAAGGUAAAGAUAUUUGUGUCAAGUUCCUAAAAAAGGUUAAACUGCAUUCAAGUGCAAUAGUUACACAAAAGCCUGUCAAAGCUUCUGAAACCUUACCACAAACAAGACUUAUACAUUUAUAUAUGCACAAACUGCAACAGAUGAAUGUAGAAA